GACGAACGCUGGCGGCGUGCUUAACACAUGCAAGUCGAACGCUGAAGACCUGGCUUUUGUUGGGUUGGAUGAGUGGCGAACGGGUGAGUAACACGUGAGUAACCUGCCCUCUUCUUUGGGAUAACGCCCGGAAACGGGUGCUAAUACUGGAUAUUCACUGAUCUUCGCAUGGGGGUUGGUGGAAAGGUUUGUUCUGGUGGGGGAUGGGCUCGCGGCCUAUCAGCUUGUUGGUGGGGUGAUGGCCUACCAAGGCUUUGACGGGUAGCCGGCCUGGGAGGGUGACCGGUCACAUUGGGGCUGAGAUACGGGCCAGACUCCUACGGGAGGCAGCAGUGGGGAAUAUUGCACAAUGGGCGAAAGCCUGAUGCAGCGACGCCGCGUGAGGGAUGGAGGCCUUCGGGUUGUAAACCUCUUUCGCUCAUGGUCAAGCCGCAACUGUGGGUUGUGGUGAGGGUAGUGGGUAAAGAAGCGCCGGCUAACUACGUG
rnacentral:rRNA from 1 species